rnacentral:tRNA from 1 species
GCCUUCGUAGCUCAAUGGAUAGAGCCGCGGUCUUCUAAGCCGCUGAUCCAGGUUCGAAUCCUGGCGAGGGCACAA